GGCGGGGUAGCAAAAUUGAACGAAUGCGCACCCGGUGGAACGGGUGAAGUGCGGGUUAGAGUCCCGCCCCUGCCUCCA
rnacentral:tRNA from 1 species